UCCAGAUCUGAGCAGCCUUUGGACUCGUCAUUGCCAAUCCAUCUGUAGAAGGCAUCACAGAACAGUCACUUAAAUCAGAGUGAGUCCCGCGCCGCCGACCCUUCGCUGGCUGUGAUGUGCUGUUGUGUUUGGAACAAGUCUCUGUUUAGUCUGUCAGUAGCAGUACCCCAGCUUCCGGCUUGGGAAAGAGCAGCAGCCUAUUAUAAUCAUACUCAGCAUGACGGCACUGGCCAGAUGCGAACGCAGAACCCACAGAGGAUCUGGGAUAAUACGUUUGGUCCUUGGAGAACUGGAAUAUAAGACUGGGUGGUGGCACCUACACUGGCAGAAAGCAACGUGCCCUGUAGCUGAUUUGUCUAUUAGUAUUAGAUGUUAAAAUAAAAUCUAAGAUUACAAAUUGCUGUGAGGUGGUAGUGUUACCAUACUGUCAUGGCUUGGCAAUUUCAGCCUAAAAGCUCAUGGACACUGAUCCCUAAAUAUUGAAUAGAUGAUGUAAA